rnacentral:rRNA from 1 species
GACGAACGCUGGCGGCGUGCUUAACACAUGCAAGUCGAACGAUGAAGCCUAGCUUGCUAGGUGGAUUAGUGGCGAACGGGUGAGUAAUACGUGAGUAACCUACCUUUAACUCUGGGAUAAGCCUGGGAAACUGGGUCUAAUACCGGAUACGACCAAUCUCCGCAUGGGGUGUUGGUGGAAAGCGUUAUGUAGUGGUUAUAGAUGGGCUCACGGCCUAUCAGCUUGUCGGUGAGGUAACGGCUCACCAAGGCGACGACGGGUAGCCGGCCUGAGAGGGUGACCGGCCACACUGGGACUGAGACACGGCCCAGACUCCUACGGGAGGCAGCAGUGGGGAAUAUUGCACAAUGGGCGCAAGCCUGAUGCAGCGACGCCGCGUGAGGGAUGACGGCCUUCGGGUUGUAAACCUCUGUUAGCAGGGAAGAAGAGAGAUUGACGGUACCUGCAGAGAAAGCGCCGGCUAACUACGUGCCAGCAGCCGCGGUAAUACGUAGGGCGCGAGCGUUGUCCGGAAUUAUUGGGCGUAAAGAGCUUGUAGGCGGUUUGUCGCGUCUGCUGUGAAAGGCCGGGGCUUAACUCCGUGUAUUGCAGUGGGUACGGGCAGACUAGAGUGCAGUAGGGGAGACUGGAAUUCCUGGUGUAGCGGUGGAAUGCGCAGAUAUCAGGAGGAACACCGAUGGCGAAGGCAGGUCUCUGGGCUGUAACUGACGCUGAGAAGCGAAAGCAUGGGGGAGCGAACAGG